rnacentral:rRNA from 1 species
UACGUAGGGUCCAAGCGUUAAUCGGAAUUACUGGGCGUAAAGCGUGCGCAGGCGGUUCGCAAAGACAGGUGUGAAAUCCCCGGGCUUAACCUGGGAACUGCGCUUGUAACUAGCGGGCUAGAGUACGGCAGAGGGGGGUGGAAUUCCACGUGUAGCAGUGAAAUGCGUAGAGAUCGGGAAGAACACCAGUGGCGAAGGCGGCUACCUGGACCAGCACUGACACUGAGGCACGAAAGCGUGGGGAGCAAACAGG